GACGAACGCUGGCGGCGUGCCUAAUACAUGCAAGUAGAACGCUGAAGAGAGGAGCUUGCUCUUCUUGGAUGAGUUGCGAACGGGUGAGUAACGCGUAGGUAACCUGCCUUGUAGCGGGGGAUAACUAUUGGAAACGAUAGCUAAUACCGCAUAACAAUGGAUGACACAUGUCAUUUAUUUGAAAGGGGCAAUUGCUCCACUACAAGAUGGACCUGCGUUGUAUUAGCUAGUAGGUGAGGUAACGGCUCACCUAGGCGACGAUACAUAGCCGACCUGAGAGGGUGAUCGGCCACACUGGGACUGAGACACGGCCCAGACGCCUACGGGAGGCAGCAGUAGGGAAUCUUCGGCAAUGGGGGCAACCCUGACCGAGCAACGCCGCGUGAGUGAAGAAGGUUUUCGGAUCGUAAAGCUCUGUUGUAAGUCAAGAACGAGUGUGAGAGUGGAAAGUUUACAAUGUGACGGUAGCUUACCAGAAAGAGACGGCUAACUACGUG
rnacentral:rRNA from 1 species